rnacentral:rRNA from 1 species
GUGCCUACGGGGGGCAGCAGUGGGGAAUAUUGCACAAUGGGGGAAACCCUGAUGCAGCAACGCCGCGUGAGUGAAGAAGUAUUUCGGUAUGUAAAGCUCUAUCAGCAGGGAAGAAGAUGACGGUACCUGAGUAAGAAGCCCCGGCUAACUACGUGCCAGCAGCCGCGGUAAUACGUAGGUGGCGAGCGUUGUCCGGAUUUACUGGGCGUAAAGGGAGCGUAGGCGGAUUUUUAAGUGAGAUGUGAAAUACUCGGGCUCAACUUGAGUGCUGCAUUUCAAACUGGAAGUCUAGAGUGCAGGAGAGG